rnacentral:rRNA from 1 species
AACGAACGCUGGCGGCAUGCCUAACACAUGCAAGUCGAACGAUGCCUUCGGGCAUAGUGGCGCACGGGUGCGUAACGCGUGGGAAUCUGCCCUUGGCUUCGGAAUAACAGUUAGAAAUGACUGCUAAUACCGGAUGAUGUCCCCCCGAGAGAUCUUGGGGACCAAAGAUUUAUCGGCCAGGGAUGAGCCCGCGUAGGAUUAGGUAGUUGGUGGGGUAAAGGCCUACCAAGCCGACGAUCCUUAGCUGGUCUGAGAGGAUGAUCAGCCACACUGGGACUGAGACACGGACCCGACUCCUACGGGAGGCAGCAGUGGGGAAUAUUGGACGAUGGAGCGAACCCUGAUACAGCAAUGCCGCGUGAGUGAUGAAGGCCUUAGGGUUGUAAAGCUCUUUUACCAGAGAUGAUAAUGACAGUACCUGGAGAAUAAGCUCCGGCUAACUCCGUG